AUUGAACGCUGGCGGCAUGCCUUACACAUGCAAGUCGAACGGUAACGGGCCUUCGGGUGCCGACGAGUGGCGAACAGGUGAGUAAUGUAUCGGAACGUACCUUUCAGUGGGGGAUAACGUAGCGAAAGUUACGCUAAUACCGCAUAUUCUGUGUGCAGGAAAGCAGGGGAUCGCAAGACCUUGCGCUGAUUGAGCGGCCGAUAUCAGAUUAGCUAGUUGGUGAGGUAAAGGCUCACCAAGGCGACGAUCUGUAGCGGGUCUGUGAGGAUGAUCCUCCACACUGGAACUGAGACACGGUCCAGACUCCUACUGGAGACAGCAGUGGGGAAUUUUGGACCAUGGGGGCAACCCUGAUUCAGCCAUGCCGCGUGAGUGAAGAAGGCCUUCGGGUUGUAAAGCUCUUUCGGCCGGGAAGAAAUCGUAUCAGCUAAUACCUGGUGCGGAUGACGGUACCGGCAUAAGAAGCACCGGCUAACUACGUGCCAGCCGCCGCCGUAAGAC
rnacentral:rRNA from 1 species